CUGUCUCUCUGUCUCUCUCUCUCUCUCUCUCUCUCUCUCUGUCUCUCUCUUUCUCUCUCUCUGUCUCUGUCUCUCUCUCUCUCCUUCUUUUUGCCUGCUGAAUAAUUCAUCAUAUCAGGCUCAAGCCGGGACCAUUAGCAUGCAUCGGGCAUGCUGUUUGUGUGUUUGCUAACAUUCUUCAUUCAGGACUUGUUAAUGCCAGACGAGCUUAACACGCUUCUCCCUCCCCCCCCAGCCCCGCGCAGCCCCCCUUCUUCUCCCCACCCCCCUUCUCUCCCUCCUCCCUCUCUCUUCUCUUCUCCUCUCUUUUUCCUUUCCCUUUCAUGCUAUCCCUCUCAGCCCGCUAUUGUUGUCGUGGCUGCGAGCUGGCAGCCUGCACUCCUUGUGGGCUGGGCGGACGGCCUGGGAGCCGCGAGCUGGGCCGGGGCCGCUGCUGCGUCCGCCUCCGCCACGACCCGGAGCCCCGUUGCUAGGAGGCUUCAGAACUGACUGCGGCAUGGAGUAGCUGGCUCCCCCAUUUCCCCACGAGUCCCGGGGUCUCUCCUCAUCCUGAACCCGCUGACUGAAAGGAGGGCAACUGCAUUGAUCGUCAGCCUGCCAGGGAUGGUGGACAUUUCCCCAGAUGGUCCCUCAUCAGAUGUGUGGCUUCCUCCCUGAACUUUCUGGCCAUCAGGGAUGGAUGUGUGUCAGUGGUCAAUGUGCUGCGAGCCCUGGAAAGAGAAGGAGCAAGGAGAAGAAAGGACGUUAGUCCUGGAAGGAGGCAGCAGCGGGAGGAGGGACGCCACCUGGGCAAUGCUGUCUGGCCUGCUGAACGUGCGGUGCUGGCCCCGUUUUAGGGAUGGGAAAACUGAGGCCAAAAGAGGCGGUCCCACUGCCCAGCCUGAGAAGAUGGAGCGGGCCCAGCAGAGAAGCUCAUGGGAUCAGAGAAGGAAACUGAGGCCCAGGAUGGUCACAGCUCAUGGUCUGAGGUUCCGGUGGCUCCGGUGCAGACCCUGGCUGGGCCCUGUCGUGGGUAGAGGCAGGGCCAGUGAGGAGGAAGAUGGGCUGUCCAUCCAUCAGUCAGUCCAUCCAGCAGCGGGCACUUACUAA
rnacentral:lncRNA from 1 species